UACGUAGGUGGCAAGCGUUGUCCGGAUUUAUUGGGUUUAAAGGGUGCGUAGGCGGCUUUGUAAGUCAGUGGUGAAAUAUGGCAGCUUAACUGUCAAGGUGCCAUUGAUACUGCAGAGCUGGAGUACAGAUGAGGUAGGCGGAAUUGACGGUGUAGCGGUGAAAUGCUUAGAUAUCGUCAAGAACACCUAUAGCGAAGGCAGCUUACUAGCUGUAACUGACGCUGAGGCACGAAAGUGUGGGAGUCAAACAGG
rnacentral:rRNA from 1 species